rnacentral:rRNA from 1 species
GGGAUUAGAUACCCCACUAUGCUUAGCCUUAAACCUAGAUGUUAAAUUUACAAGCAACAUCCGCCAGGGUACUACAAGCGCUAGCUUAAAACCCAAAGGACUUGACGGUGUCUCAGACCCACCUAGAGGAGCCUGUUCUAGAACCGAUAAUCCCCGUUAAACCUCACCACCCCUUGUUUUCCCCGCCUAUAUACCGCCGUCGCAAGCUUACCCUGUGAAGGUCUCAUAGUAAGCAAAGUGGGUAAAUCCCAAAACGUCAGGUCGAGGUGUAGCUUACGAGGUGGGAAGAAAUGGGCUACAUUUUCUAUAUCAGAAUAAUACGAACAGCACCAUGAAAUUUGUGCUUGAAGGUGGAUUUAGUAGUAAAAAAUAAAUAGAGAGUCUUUUUGAACCAGGCUCUGAGACGCGCACACACCGCCCC